rnacentral:rRNA from 1 species
UACGUAUGGGGCAAGCGUUAUCCGGAUUUACUGGGUGUAAAGGGAGCGUAGGCGGCAGGGCAAGCCUGAUGUGAAAGCCCGGGGCUCAACCCCGGGACUGCAUUGGGAACUGCCCUGCUGGAGUGCCGGAGGGGCAGGCGGAAUUCCUAGUGUAGCGGUGAAAUGUGUAGAUAUUAGGAGGAACACCAGUGGCGAAGGCGGCCUGCUGGACGGUGACUGACGCUGAGGCUCGAAAGCGUGGGGAGCAAACAGG